CCACAUGUUGGACAGUAGGAGUCAGCAGAGAAUGAGUCCCACAUCCUCUUUUCAUCCAUAAGCCACUAUUCCCAACUGCUCUUCCACCUCCCAUUGUCCCUAUGUCUACUUUACUGCUCAAUCUGGAUUUUGGGGAACCUCCUCCCAAAAAGGCAUUAGAAGGAAAUGCCAAGCACCGAAAUUUUGUCAAGAAGCGGAGGCUCUUGGAACGGAGAGGCUUUCUGAGUAAAAAGAACCAACCCCCUAGCAAGGCGCCUAAGUUGCACUCUGAACCUCCAAAGAAAGGGAAAGCUCCUACAGUGGAUGGCACUUGGAAGACCCCUUCCUUCCCAAAAAAGAAGAAGACAGCUGCCUCUAGCAAUGGGUCAGGACAGCCCCUGGACAAGAAAGCUGCAGUGUCUUGGCUGAUCCCUGCCCCUUCAAAAAAGGCUGAUUCUGUUGCUGCUAAAGUAGAUUUGCUGGGGGAGUUCCAGAGUGCCCUUCCAAAGAUCAAUAGUCACCCAACCUGCUCUCAGAAGAAGGGCUCCCAGAAGAAAUCCUCUAAGAAGAACCAUCCUCAGAAGAAUGCCCCACAGAACUCCACCCAAGCUCAUUCAGAGAAUAAAUGCUCCAGAAUAUCCCAGAAGUUGCCACAGAAGAUGGCGGCAAUUGACUGUGAGAUGGUGGGCACAGGACCAAAGGGGCAUGUUAGUUCCUUGGCUCAAUGUAGCAUUGUCAACUACAAUGGAGAUGUGCUUUAUGACGAGUACAUUCUUUCCCCCUGCCACACUGUGGACUACCGAACCAGAUGGAGUGGUAUCCCGAAGCACCACGUGGUGAAUGCCACACCCUUCAAGAUUGCUCGAGGCCAGAUCUUGAAGAUACUCACAGGGAAGACAGUGGUGGGACAUGCCAUCCACAAUGACUUCAAAGCCCUUCAGUACUUUCACCCCAAGUCCCUCACCUGUGACACCUCCCAUAGCACCCCCCUCAACCUGGAAGGCUGACUGCCCGGAGAAUGCCACCAUGUCUCUGAAGCAUCUCACCAAGAAGCUGCUAAACUGGGAUAUCCAGGUUGGGAAGAGUGGACAUUCCUCUGUGGAAGAUGCCCAGGCCACCGUGGAGCUGUACAAGUUGGUUGAAAUUGAGUGGGAAGAGCACCUAGCCCAGAAUCCCCCUAAAGACUAGUGACACUGGAGACACUGGUGAUAUGGGGAGGCAGAGGCAGCGCCCAGGAGAAACAGGGCAGCGGACGAAUGGACAGCUCCACCAGCUCCACAUCUUUGGAAGAUAGAUUUGUGGGGAGAGAGAAGCUCUACCCCAGACUUAAUACCCAUUGAAGUUUCACCUCAGAUGUUGUGUCCUGUAUCUGGUUAAGUGUCCCAUGGAAGGGGGAGGCCUUUACCUCAGAACCCAGCCCUAUACCGUUUACUUCUUAAAUGGCGCUAACCACAGGUGUCCCAGCAUGCUCUGUGUCAGUUAAGAUUUUUAAUUCUCAAGGGGCAGGGCAUACUGGGAAAUGUAGUUUCCCAAACUGCCUUAUCACUUGGAUGGACAUAUGUCUCCUUUUAUGCCUUUUGGUUUGAGUAAUUAACAGCAUCCUCUUCCACACUCAGAAAUGUUCUGGUUGGUGCCAGGCAUGGUGGCUCACGCCUGUA